rnacentral:rRNA from 1 species
AUUGAACGCUGGCGGCAGGCCUAACACAUGCAAGUCGAGCGAGCGGCGGACGGGUGAGUAAUGUAUGGGGACUGCCCGAUAGAGGGGGAUAACUACUGGAAACGGUGGCUAAUACCGCAUACUAACGGAUAACCCAUAUGUGAUUAGCUAGGAGGGGGGGUAAAGGCUCACCAAGGCGACGAUCUCUAGGUGGUCUGCGAGGAUGAAAAGCCACACUUGGCCUGCGACACGGCCCAGACUCCUACGGAGGCAGCAGUGGGGAAUAUUGCACAAUGGGUGCAAGCCUGAUGCAGCCAGGCCGCGUGUAUGAAGAAGGCCUUAGGGUUGUAAAGUACUUUCAGCGGGGAGGCGUUACCCGCAGAAGAAGCACCGGCUAACUCCGUGCCAGCAGCCGCGGUAAUAC